UGGGGAAUAUUGGACAAUGGGCGCAAGCCUGAUCCAGCCAUGCCGCGUGAGUGAUGAAGGCCCUAGGGUUGUAAAGCUCUUUCACCGGUGAAGAUAAUGACGGUAACCGGAGAAGAAGCCCCGGCUAACUUCGUGCCAGCAGCCGCGGUAAUACGAAGGGGGCUAGCGUUGUUCGGAUUUACUGGGCGUAAAGCGCACGUAGGCGGACUAUUAAGUCAGGGGUGAAAUCCCGGGGCUCAACCCCGGAACUGCCUUUGAUACUGGUAGUCUUGAGUUCGAGAGAGGUGAGUGGAAUUCCGAGUGUAGAGGUGAAAUUCGUAGAUAUUCGGAAGAACACCAGUGGCGAAGGCGGCUCACUGGCUCGAUACUGACGCUGAGGUGCGAAAGCGUGGGGAGCAAACAGG
rnacentral:rRNA from 1 species